GGAGUUAGCCGGUGCUUCUUCUGUGAGUGAUGUCCUUCCUGCCGGCUAUUAACCCGCAGGCCUUCUUCCUCACUGAAAGUGCUUUACAACCCGAAGGCCUUCUUCACACACGCGGCAUGGCUGGAUCAGGGUUGCCCCCAUUGUCCAAUAUUCCCCACUGCUGCCUCCCGUAGGAGUCUGGGCCGUGUCUCAGUCCCAGUGUGGCUGAUCAUCCUCUCAGACCAGCUACGGAUCGUCGCCUUGGUGAGCCGUUACCUCACCAACCAGCUAAUCCGACAUAGGCUCAUCCGAUAGCGCGAGGCCCGAAGGUCCCCCGCUUUCCCCCGUAGGGCGUAUGCGGUAUUAGCCUGGGUUUCCCCAGGUUAUCCCCCACUACCGGGCAGAUUCCUAUGCAUUACUCACCCGUCCGCCGCUCGCCACCAGGGAGCAAGCUCCCCGUGCUGCCGCUCGACUUGCAUGUGUUAGGCCUGCCGCCAGCGUUCAAUCUGAGCCAGAAUCGAACCCUAGA
rnacentral:rRNA from 1 species